UACGGAGGGUGCAAGCAUUAAUCGGAGUGAUUGGGCGUAAAGGGCGCGUAGGCGGGCUUGUAAGUCAGGUGUGAAAUUCCGAAGCUCAACUUCGGAGCUGCACUUGAAACUACAAGUCUGGAGGAAUGGCGGAGAAAACGGAAUUCCACGUGUAGCGGUGAAAUGCGUAGAUAUGUGGAGGAACACCUGUGGCGAAAGCGGUUUUCUAGCUUAUUCCUGACGCUGAGGCGCGAGAGCAAGGGGAGCAAACAGGAUUAGAUACCCUGGUAGUCCUUGCCGUAAACGAUGCAUACUUGGUGUAGCUGGGCUCAACCCUGGCUGUGUCGAAGCUAAAGCGAUAAGUAUGCCGCCUGGAGAGUACGCUCGCAAGGGUGAAACCCAAAAGAAUUGACGGGGGCCCGCACAAGCAGUGGAGCAUGUGGUUUAAUUCGAUGCAACGCGAAGAACCUUACCCAGGCUCGAAAUGCAGCGGACGGUACCAGAGAUGGUACUUCUCGAAAGGGCUGCUGCAUAGGUGCUGCAUGGCUGUCGUCAGCUCGUGCCGUGAGGUGUUGGGUUAAGUCCCGCAACGAGCGCAACCCUUAUCAUUAGUUGCCAACACGAAAGGUGGGGACUCUAAUGAGACUGCCUAGGUUAACUAGGAGGAAGGUGAGGAUGACGUCAAGUCAGCAUGGCCCUUAUGUCUGGGGCUACACACGUGCUACAAUGGUCGGUACAGAGGGCAGC
rnacentral:rRNA from 1 species